GACCGCUCCAGUGACCUAAUGGUUAGACCGUCCGCUUCGAAUGUGGGAAGUCGUGGGUUCGAUCCCCGGCUGAGUCA